rnacentral:rRNA from 1 species
AUUGAACGCUGGCGGCAUGCUUUACACAUGCAAGUCGAACGGUAACAGGGUGCUUGCACCGCUGACGAGUGGCGAACGGGUGAGUAAUGCAUCGGAAUGUACCGUGUAAUGGGGGAUAGCUCGGCGAAAGCCGGAUUAAUACCGCAUACGCCCUGAGGGGGAAAGUGGGGGACCGAAAGGCCCCACGUUAUACGAGCAGCCGAUGUCUGAUUAGCUAGUUGGUGAGGUAAAGGCUCACCAAGGCGUCGAUCAGUAGCGGGUCUGAGAGGAUGAUCCGCCACACUGGGACUGAGACACGGCCCAGACUCCUACGGGAGGCAGCAGUGGGGAAUUUUGGACAAUGGGCGCAAGCCUGAUCCAGCCAUGCCGCGUGUCUGAAGAAGGCCUUCGGGUUGUAAAGGACUUUUGUCCGGGAGCAAAUCCUAGUGGUUAAUAACCGCUGGGUCUGAGAGUACCGGAAGAAUAAGCACCGGCUAACUACGUG